CCCGGGUGCUUAAAAAGAAGGGACCUGGGGUCUCUGCUACUGAAGAGGACUCCAUCCUUUCUAAUGACCAUAAUGGCCAGCUGCAGAAGCAGAGCUACCCUUGGUGCUCAAAAUUUAUCUCCUAUGAUAAUAAAUCGAGGAAAAAAAAGCAGGUAUGCUGGCUCAGCUGCCCAUCUGUUUUCUGCCUAACACAGGACCAUUGAGAAAAAUAAAGGAGAGAGAAGGUGACUGGGACUCUUACAGACUAUUUAUUUUGCAUUAGACCUUAGAAACUUUCGGCCUCUGGUGGACUCCACAGACACCAUUUCUCCAAAAAGCUUUGAAGAAUGAUCUAUGAAGGACGCUACAAAACAUCUCAAGAUCAAUUGCUGAGUUCUCAGAGUGGCCGCGCAGAGCAAUCAGGGCAGAAUCAGUUGCUGGAGACACUCAGAAGAAGAUUUUACAGCAUGGAUUCCUGUUCUUCGGUGAGAAGGCCUAGGAGUCACGGACUUUGUAUUCAUAAUCUUACCUGGGCCACUUUCCCUUCAUGCCUGUGUGACCUGAAUAAAAUGUCUCAUACCCACAUUGUACCAUCUGGACCCAUAGAUGACUAUCCCAGCCCUAUUGAAGUGAGUGCAGUGGAGAUGUCUAUAUUCUGCACCUGCCCUUGACUUAGGAUAUAAUUUGGAG
rnacentral:lncRNA from 12 species